GCCAGGAAGAGGAAGAAAGAGAGGGCCUAAGAGUAGUGGGAAUGGGAACAUGGAGGAAAGCCCAACCUGUUUGUUUUCUCCUCCAGCAAUGGAGUGAAAGCUAAGCUUGGUUUGGUGUUUCCCAAUGCCUCCCAUUCCUAUCAUUCUUAAGCGCUCCUUCCUUUUCCCUUUGGCU
rnacentral:pre_miRNA from 1 species